AGCCAAGCCAUUGCAUCCCCUGUGACCUGCACGUAUAAGCCCAGAUGGCCUGAAGUAACUGAAGAAUCACAAAAGAAGUGAAUAUGCCCUGCCCCACCUUAACUGAUGACAUUCCAACACAAAAGAAGUGUAAAUGGCCAGUCCUUGCCUUAAGUGAUGACAUUACCUUGUAAAAGUCCUUUUCCUAGCUCAUCCUGGCUCAAAAAGCACCCCCACUGAGCACCUUGUGACCCCCCACUCCUGCCCGCCAGAGAACAAACCCCCUUUGAUGUAAUUUUCCUUUACCUACCCAAAUCCUAUAAAACAGCCCCACCCUUAUCUCCCUUCGCUGACUCUCUUUUCGGACUCAGCCCACCUGCACCCAGGUGAAAUAAACAGCUUUAUUGCUCAC
rnacentral:lncRNA from 1 species